rnacentral:misc_RNA from 1 species
UUAAGUUCAGCGGGUAUCCCUACCUGAUCCGAGGUCAAACCGUGAUAAAGUGUGGUUUACCAGGCGGUGUCGUCCGGUCUCCGAAGCGGGUAGAUUUGACUACGCUGGGAGCUCGGCCGCCACCGCCCACGAGUUUCGGGCACGUCCGGUGAGGACGAGGCCCAACACCAAGCAGAAGCUUGAGGGUUGAAAUGACGCUC